AUCGAACGCUGGCGGCAGGCCUAAUACAUGCAAGUCGAACGAGUGGCGGACGGGUGAGCAAUGUCUGGGAAACUGCCUGACGGAGGGGGAUAACUACUGGAAAAGGUAGCUAAUACCGCAUACCACAGGUUGUGCCCAGAGGGGAUUAGCUAGUAGGUGGGGUAAAGGCUCACCUAGGCGACGAUCCCUAGCUGGUCUGAGAGGCUGACCAGCCACACUGGAACUGAGACACGGUCCAGACUCCUACGGGAGGCAGCAGUGGGGAAUAUUGCACAAUGGGCGAAAGCCUGAUGCAGCCAUGCCGCGUGUAUGAAGAAGGCCUUCGGGUUGUAAAGUACUUUCAGCGGGGAGGCGUUACCCGCAGAAGAAGCACCGGCUAACUCCGUGCCAGCCGCCGCGGUAAUUC
rnacentral:rRNA from 1 species